AACGAACGCUGGCGGCAGGCUUAACACAUGCAAGUCGAGCGCCCCGCAAGGGGAGCGGCAGACGGGUGAGUAACGCGUGGGAAUCUACCCAUCUCUACGGAAUAACGCAUGGGAACGUGUGCUAAUACCGUAUACGUCCUUCGGGAGAAAGAUUUAUCGGAGAUGGAUGAGCCCGCGUUGGAUUAGCUAGUUGGUGGGGUAAAGGCCUACCAAGGCGACGAUCCAUAGCUGGUCUGAGAGGAUGAUCAGCCACACUGGGACUGAGACACGGCCCAGACUCCUACGGGAGGCAGCAGUGGGGAAUAUUGGACAAUGGGCGCAAGCCUGAUCCAGCCAUGCCGCGUGAGUGAUGAAGGCCCUAGGGUUGUAAAGCUCUUUCACCGGUGAAGAUAAUGACGGUAACCGGAGAAGAAGCCCCGGCUAACUUCGUGCCAGCAGCCGCCGUAAUAC
rnacentral:rRNA from 1 species